rnacentral:rRNA from 1 species
CACGUAGGCACCAAGCGUUGUCCGGAUUUAUUGGGCGUAAAGAGCUCGUAGGCGGCUCGGUAAGUCGGAUGUGAAACCUCCAGGCUCAACCUGGAGACGCCAUCUGAUACUGCCGUGGCUUGAGUCCGGUAGAGGAGCAGGGAAUUCCUGGUGUAGCGGUGAAAUGCGCAGAUAUCAGGAGGAACACCAGCGGCGAAGGCGCUGCUCUGGGCCGGUACUGACGCUGAGGAGCGAAAGCGUGGGGAGCGAACAGG